UACGAAGGGGGCUAGCGUUGUUCGGAAUCACUGGGCGUAAAGGGCGCGUAGGCGGCCGAUCAAGUCGGGGGUGAAAGCCUGUGGCUUAACCACAGAAUGGCCUUCGAUACUGUUUGGCUUGAGACCGGAAGAGGUUAGAGGAACUGCGAGUGUAGAGGUGAAAUUCGUAGAUAUUCGCAAGAACACCAGUGGCGAAGGCGGCUGACUGGUCCGGUUCUGACGCUGAGGCGCGAAAGCGUGGGGAGCAAACAGG
rnacentral:rRNA from 1 species